GAAUAACAAAAAAGAAGUUGAGCGGCAGCAUCUAGCUUUCCAGAAUCUUUGUAAUGCAGACAAUGUUCGUCUUUUCUCUACAGGGCAACAAAUCUGUUCCUGGCCUCCCUUCUGAGGAAAGGAGCAAUAUUUUCUCUGAUGGAAUACAGCAGUGCGGACUCUCCCAUAACAGCAAACAUUCAAAGAAAGGAAUCAGAGCCAUCUCAACGGUUCUGCUUCCAUGGGUAGAGGCCACCCCACUGCUGUAACAUCUGAAACUGGUGACAGGAAGGUAGCAACACGUGUCCUGAUUCUCUUCCUGUUUCAGAUCCUGCCUGGCUGUUUCUCUAGAGAUGGCAGCAUACGAAGACAUCAAAGCGAUUAAAGCCACAUGCAUGGGAUUUCAAUAGAAAGGCAAGAAGUAACGGACGCAAGACAUCAGGGAAGGUUAUAGUAGCAGGGCAAACAGUCAUGUCGCCUAGCAAAAACAAACAGUUGGAGUGGUGCACUGCAGCCAGAGAACGGAUGAUUUGUCCCUCAUCUCUGGUUCAGUGUGGCAUGGUUGGGAGGUGCCAAAUGCUCCCGUAAAAAACACCAUCCUUACAGGCAUUGAGCUCUUGUCUAGGAUUGGAAAUUUGGUGUUUCUGUAAAGUACAUGUAACU